AUUGAACGCUGGCGGCAGGCCUAACACAUGCAAGUCGAACGAGUGGCGGACGGGUGAGUAAUGUCUGGGAAACUGCCUGACGGAGGGGGAUAACGACUGGAAACGGUAGCUAAUACCGCAUACCAUGGGAUGGGGCCAUGUGGGAUUAGCUAGUAGGUGGGGUAAAGGCUCACCUGGGCGACGAUCCCUAGCUGGUCUGCGAGGAUGACCAGCCACACUGGAACGGAGACACGGCCCAGACUCCUACGGGAGGCAGCAGUGGGGAAUAUUGGACAAUGGGCGCAAGCCUGAUGCAGCCAUGCCGCGUGUAUGAAGAAGGCCUUCGGGUUGUAAAGUUCUUUCAGCGGGGAGGCGUUACCCGCAGAAUAAGCACCGGCUAACUCCGUGCCAGCAGCCGCGGUAAUAC
rnacentral:rRNA from 1 species